rnacentral:misc_RNA from 1 species
GAUGAAGAACGUAGCGAAAUGUGAUACUUGGUGUGAAUUGCAGAAUCCCGUGAACCAUCGAGUCUUUGAACGCAAGUUGCGCCUCAAGCCAUUAGGUUGAGGGCACGUCUGCCUGGGCGUCACAUAUCGUUGCCUGAUGCCAGUUUCCUCGUGAUGGGUGACUGUGCAGGGCGAAUGAUGGCUUCCCGUGAGCAUUGUUGCCUCAUGGUUGGUUGAAAAUUGAGUCCUUGGUAGGGAGCGCCGUGAUAGAUGGUGGUUGAGUGACGAACGAGACCCAAUCAUGUGAGACCCCUACCGAAUUUGGCCUUCAUGACCCACAUGCGUCUUUGGAACGCUCAUGACGAGACCUCAGGUCAGGCGGGGCUACCCGCUGAGUUUAAGCAUAUCAAUAAGCGGAGGA